rnacentral:rRNA from 1 species
UACAGAGGUCUCAAGCGUUGUUCGGAAUCACUGGGCGUAAAGGGAGCGUAGGCGGGUUCUUAAGUUAGGUGUUUAAUCCCGGGGCCCAACCCCGGACCGGCACUUAAAACUGGGAAUCUUGAAUAGUGGAGAGGUCAGUGGAAUUGGGGGUGUAGCGGUGGAAUGCGUAGAGAUCCCCAAGAACACCAGUUGCGAAGGCGGCUGACUGGACACAUAUUGACGCUGAGGCUCGGAAAGCAUGGGGAGCAAACAGG